GAUUAAAUGGCUGAAUUUAGGCAAUAAAUUGUAAAUUUAUUUAUGAGAGUAAUUAUCUCUUUAAUCA
rnacentral:tRNA from 1 species